CAGCAGCCGCGGGAAUACAGAGGGUGCGAGCGUUAAUCGGAUUUACUGGGCGUAAAGCGUGCGUAGGCGGCUUUUUAAGUCGGAUGUGAAAUCCCUGAGCUUAACUUAGGAAUUGCAUUCGAUACUGGGAAGCUAGAGUAUGGGAGAGGAUGGUAGAAUUCCAGGUGUAGCGGUGAAAUGCGUAGAGAUCUGGAGGAAUACCGAUGGCGAAGGCAGCCAUCUGGGCCAAUACUGACGCUCAUGCACGAAAGCGUGGGGAGCAAACAGGAUUAGAUACCCGAGUAGUCCCUGUCUCUUAUAC
rnacentral:rRNA from 1 species